rnacentral:rRNA from 1 species
AACGAACGCUGGCGGCAUGCCUAACACAUGCAAGUCGAACGAGACCUUCGGGUCUAGUGGCGCACGGGUGCGUAACGCGUGGGAACCUGCCCUUAGGUUCGGAAUAACUCCCCGAAAGGGGUGCUAAUACCGGAUAAUGUCUUCGGACCAAAGAUUUAUCGCCUUUGGAUGGGCCCGCGUUGGAUUAGCUAGUUGGUAGGGUAAAAGCCUACCAAGGCGACGAUCCAUAGCUGGUCUGAGAGGAUGAUCAGCCACACUGGGACUGAGACACGGCCCAGACCCCUACGGGAGGCGGGAGGGGGGAAUAUUGGACAAGGGGCGAAAGCCUGACCCGGCAAUGCCGGGGGAGUGAUGAAGGCCUUGGGGUUGAAAAGCUCUUUUACCCGGGAUGAAAAGGAAAGAACGGGGAAAAGAAGCCCCGGCAAACCCCGG